rnacentral:rRNA from 186 species
CAAGUAAUUAAGUGCAUGUGGUGGAUGCCUUGGCAGUCAGAGGCGAUGAAAGACGUGAUAGCCUGCGAAAAGCUCCGGGGAGGCGGCAAAUAUCCUUUGAUCCGGAGAUGUCUGAAUGGGGGAACCCACCUACUUUAAGGUAGGUAUUGCAACAUGAAUACAUAGUGUUGCAAGGCGAACGAGGGGAAGUGAAACAUCUCAGUACCCUUAGGAAAAGAAAUCAAUUGAGAUUCCCUCAGUAGCGGCGAGCGAACGGGGAUCAGCCCAUUAAGUUAUGUGUGUUUUAGUGGAACGCUCUGGGAAGUGCGAACGUAGAGGGUGAUAUUCCCGUACACGAAAGGGCACACAUAAUGAUGACGAGUAGGGCGAGGCACGUGAAACCUUGUCUGAAUAUGGGGGGACCAUCCUCCAAGGCUAAAUACUCCUGACUGACCGAUAGUGAACCAGUACCGUGAGGGAAAGGCGAAAAGAACCCCUGUGAGGGGAGUGAAAUAGAUCCUGAAACCGCAUGCAUACAAGCAGUGGGAGCACCUUCGUGGUGUGACUGCGUACCUUUUGUAUAAUGGGUCAGCGACUUAUAUUCAGUAGCGAGGUUAACCGUAUAGGGGAGCCGUAGAGAAAUCGAGUCUUAAUAGGGCGUUUAGUUGCUGGGUAUAGACCCGAAACCAGGCGAUCUAUCCAUGAGCAGGUUGAAGGUUGGGUAACACUAACUGGAGGACCGAACCCACUGUCGUUGAAAAGCCAGGGGAUGACUUGUGGAUAGGGGUGAAAGGCUAAUCAAGCCUGGUGAUAGCUGGUUCUCCCCGAAAGCUAUUUAGGUAGCGCCUCGGACGAAUACCAUAGGGGGUAGAGCACUGUUUCGGCUAGGGGGUCAUCCCGACUUACCAAACCGAUGCAAACUCCGAAUACCUAUGAGUACUAUCCGGGAGACAGACUGCGGGUGCUAACGUCCGUAGUCAAGAGGAAAACAAUCCAGACCGCCAGCUAAGGCCCCAAAAUCAUAGUUAAGUGGGAAACGAUGUGGGAAGGCAUAGACAGCUAGGAGGUUGGCUUAGAAGCAGCCACCCUUUAAAGAAAGCGUAAUAGCUCACUAGUCGAGUCGGCCUGCGCGGAAGAUGUAACGGGGCUAAAACUAUGUGCCGAAGCUGCGGAUGUAUACUUUGUAUACGUGGUAGGGGAGCGUUCUGUAAGCCGAUGAAGGUGUGUUGAGAAGCAUGCUGGAGGUAUCAGAAGUGCGAAUGCUGACGUGAGUAACGACAAAACGGGUGAAAAACCCGUUCGCCGAAAGACCAAGGGUUCCAGUCCAACGUUAAUCGGGGCUGGGUGAGUCGACCCCUAAGGCGAGGCCGAAAGGCGUAGUCGAUGGGAAAAUGGUUAAUAUUCCAUUACUUCUGUGUAAUGCGAUGAGAGGACGGAGAAGGCUAAAUCAGCCUGGCGUUGGUUGUCCAGGUGAAAGGAUGUAGGCAUGUAUCUUAGGCAAAUCCGGGGUACUCUAUGCUGAGAUCUGAUAGCAAGCUGUACUUGUACAGCGAAGUGGUUGAUGCCAUGCUUCCAGGAAAAGUCUCUAAGCUUCAGUUACACAGGAAUCGUACCCGAAACCGACACAGGUGGUCAGGUCGAGUAGACCAAGGCGCUUGAGAGAACUCUGCUGAAGGAACUAGGCAAAAUGGUACCGUAACUUCGGGAGAAGGUACGCUGUUGUUGGUGAUGGAACUCGCUUCCUGAGCUGACGACAGCCGCAGAAACCAGGCCGCUGCAACUGUUUAUUAAAAACAUAGCACUCUGCAAACACGAAAGUGGACGUAUAGGGUGUGAUGCCUGCCCGGUGCUGGAAGGUUAAUUGAUGGGGUUAGCGUAAGCGAAGCUCUUGAUCGAAGCCCCAGUAAACGGCGGCCGUAACUAUAACGGUCCUAAGGUAGCGAAAUUCCUUGUCGGGUAAGUUCCGACCUGCACGAAUGGCAUAAUGAUGGCGGCGCUGUCUCCAGCAGAGGCUCAGUGAAAUCGAAAUCGCUGUGAAGAUGCAGUGUACCCGCGGCUAGACGGAAAGACCCCGUGAACCUUUACUGCAGCUUGACACUGAACUUUGACCUUACUUGUGUAGGAUAGGUGGGAGGCUUUGAAGCUGGAACGCUAGUUCCAGUGGAGCCGUCCUUGAAAUACCACCCUGGUAAUGUUGAGGUUCUAACUCUGUCCCGUGAUCCGGGACGAGGACCGUGUCUGGUGGGUAGUUUGACUGGGGCGGUCUCCUCCUAAAGAGUAACGGAGGAGUACGAAGGUGCGCUCAGCGUGGUCGGAAAUCACGCGUAGAGUAUAAAGGCAAAAGCGCGCUUAACUGCGAGACCCACAAGUCGAGCAGGUACGAAAGUAGGUCUUAGUGAUCCGGUGGUUCUGUAUGGAAGGGCCAUCGCUCAACGGAUAAAAGGUACUCUGGGGAUAACAGGCUGAUACCGCCCAAGAGUUCAUAUCGACGGCGGUGUUUGGCACCUCGAUGUCGGCUCAUCUCAUCCUGGGGCUGAAGCAGGUCCCAAGGGUAUGGCUGUUCGCCAUUUAAAGAGGUACGCGAGCUGGGUUUAGAACGUCGUGAGACAGUUCGGUCCCUAUCUACCGUGGGCGCUGGAAAUUUGAGAGGAUCUGCUCCUAGUACGAGAGGACCAGAGUGGACGAACCUCUGGUGUACCGGUUGUGACGCCAGUCGCAUCGCCGGGUAGCUAUGUUCGGAAGGGAUAACCGCUGAAAGCAUCUAAGCGGGAAGCCUACCUCAAGAUAAGAUUUCCCUAGGACUUUAUGUCCUCUAAAGAGCCGUUCGAGACUAGGACGUUGAUAGGUUGGAUGUGGAAGCAUAGUGAUAUGUGAAGCUGACCAAUACUAAUUGCUCGUGAGGCUUGACUA